AUUGAACGCUGGCGGCAUGCUUUACACAUGCAGGUCGAACGGUAACAGGCCGCAAGGUGCUGACGAGUGGCGAACGGGUGAGUAAUGCAUCGGAACGUGCCCAGUCGUGGGGGAUAACGCAGCGAAAGCUGCGCUAAUACCGCAUACGAUCUAUGGAUGAAAGCGGGGGACCGUAAGGCCUCGCGCGAUUGGAGCGGCCGAUGUCAGAUUAGGUAGUUGGUGGGGUAAAGGCUCACCAAGCCAACGAUCUGUAGCUGGUCUGAGAGGACGACCAGCCACACUGGGACUGAGACACGGCCCAGACUCCUACGGGAGGCAGCAGUGGGGAAUUUUGGACAAUGGGCGCAAGCCUGAUCCAGCAAUGCCGCGUGCAGGAAGAAGGCCUUCGGGUUGUAAACUGCUUUUGUACGGAACGAAACGGUCCUGGUUAAUACCCGGGGCUAAUGACGGUACCGUAAGAAUAAGCACCGGCUAACUACGUGCCAGCAGCCGCAGUAAGAC
rnacentral:rRNA from 1 species